rnacentral:rRNA from 1 species
CCCUUAGAUGUUCUGGGCCGCACGCGCGCUACACUGAUGCAUUCAACGAGUCUAAAACCUGGUCUGAUAGGGCUGGGUAAUCUUUUGAAAGUGCAUCGUGAUUGGGAUAGAUGAUUGCAAUUCUUCAUCUUCAACGAGGAAUGCCUAGUAAACGCAAGUCAUCAGCUUGCAUUGAUUACGUCCCUGCCCUUUGUACACACCGCCCGUCGCACCUACUGAUUGAAUGACUCGGUGAAAAAUCGGGACUGCGAGAACAAUCGAUUAAUUUCGAAUGUACUUGUGGGAACUUUUUUUAACCUCGCCAUUUAGAAGAAGGUGAAGUCGUAACA